UUGACAGUUUGGCUUCCCUGUUCUGGGUGGCAAAGCCUGUGGAGUACUCACCUACCUGCUGCAUGAAGGCAGCAUGGAGGGACUGUGGUGGAUUAUCUGCAAAGAUGGCCAAAAUUCUCUCAUCCCUGCAGGCACAUACAAGGAAAUUGAAGUAUACAGAAUGCUUAUUUGGUCUACUCAGUAUCAUCCUAAAUGUAUGUACCAAUGCUUAGGAGUUUGCAGUUCACCCGCAAACCUCAGCGAUCCAAGCUCCCCUGGAUGACCAUCACUCACCAAGAAAAGAGCAAUAACAGGACCUGUUUUGCUAAUCCAGGACUGUUCUCCAGCACUAACUCUAAAUAAUCCCUUCUGCUAGAGUCCACUUUCUGGAACCUGUUGCCUCCGUUUUCAACGUUUCCCAAACUUGGUCCGUUGUGUGAGCUGGCUGAUAAAAGUUCCAGGGAGAAGACAUCUUACUCUUAUUGGAUCAUGCACAGUGCCUGAAGCAUUCUGUUGCAUGUAGAAGUCAGUAAAUUGCAGAUGUAAGAUUCAAAACCAGACUUCACAUCUACCGACUUCAGUGACCCUGAAAUUUGUUCACAGAGAGCAUUUAACAUAACUGUCUUCAUCAUCUCCUUCUCUACAUUAAAAAUUAUGGAAUAUACAGGGAGGUGUGAUGUACCCAUUAUCACAAGCAGAUGGAAUCCCUAUAGAGUCGGAUCUCAUCUACAUAUCACCUAUUA
rnacentral:lncRNA from 1 species